ACCAGACUCCUACGGGAGGCAGCAGUGGGGAAUAUUGGACAAUGGGGGAAACCCUGAUCCAGCGACGCCGCGUGAGUGAAGAAGUAUUUCGGUACGUAAAGCUCUCUCAGCAGGAAAGAAAAUGACGGUACCUGACUAAGAAGCCCCGGCUAACUACGUGCCAGCAGCCGCGGUAAUACGUAGGGGGCAAGCGUUAUCCGGAUUUACUGGGUAUAAAGGGAGCGUAGACGGUUGCGCAAGUCUGGAGUGAAAGGCGGGGGCCCAACCCCCGGACUGCUCUGGAAACUGUGUAACUGGAGUGCAGGAGAGGUAAGUGGAAUUCCUAGUGUAGCGGUGAAAUGCGUAGAUAUUAGGAGGAACACCAGUGGCGAAGGCGGCUUACUGGACUGUAACUGACGUUGAGGCUCGAAAGCGUGGGGAGCAAACAGGAUUAGAUACCCCAGUA
rnacentral:rRNA from 1 species